rnacentral:rRNA from 1 species
UACAGAGGUGGCAAGCGUUGUUCGGAAUUACUGGGCGUAAAGGGCGCGUAGGCGGCCUUCUAAGUCAGACGUGAAAUCCCCCGGCUUAACCUGGGAACUGCGUCUGAUACUGGGAGGCUUGAGUAUGGGAGAGGGAUGUAGAAUUCCAGGUGUAGCGGUGAAAUGCGUAGAUAUCUGGAGGAAUACCGGUGGCGAAGGCGGCCUGCUGGGCUGUUGCUGACGCUGAGGCGCGACAGCGUGGGGAGCAAACAGGAUUAGAAA